AAAAAAUGAUAGAAAAGAAAAACUUUAUAACGAGAGUUGCCUCCUCUUACAUGAAUUUCCACAAAAACUAUCAGUAGACGGAGGCACUAGUUUGUAUGUUUCACUUUAAUUAUUGUCAGCCUCCGAAAGAGAGAAAGAAAGAAAGAAUAAUUGAUGACCAAAGACCGUUCGAAGGAGACUUUGAGAAACAUUGUAAGUGUUAAUUAGACACUCAAAUCUCUCUAUGUCACCAUAUCUGGGCUGUUUGUUGUUUGAUAUAUUACUUGGAAACAUGUGGGUGCUGGUACCAGGAAGUGUGUCUAGAUACUGAAUACUUUCUCCAGUGUACUUUUGUCUGCAGAAUUCUGGUUUAAGCACCCCGUAUAACCCCUCAUAACUUAUCC
rnacentral:misc_RNA from 1 species